AUACGUAGGGGACGAGCGUUGUCCGGAAUGAUUGGGCGUAAAGGGAGCGUAGGCGGCCCGGUAAGUCUGGAGUGAAAGUCCUGUUUUUAAGAUGGGAAUUGCUUUGGAUACUGUCGGGCUUGAGUGCAGGAGAGGUAAGUGGAAUUCCUAGUGUAGCGGUGAAAUGCGUAGAGAUUGGGAGGAACACCAGUGGAGAAGGCGACUUACUGGACUGUAACUGACGCUGAGGCGCGAAAGUGUGGGGAGCAAACAGGAUUAGAUACCCUGGUAGUCCACACUGUAAACGAUGAAUGCUAGGUGUAGGGGGUAUCGACCCCUUCUGUGCCGAAGUAACACAAUAAGCAUUCCGCCUGGGGAGUACGGCCGCAAGGUUGAAACUCAAAGGAAUUGACGGGG
rnacentral:rRNA from 1 species